rnacentral:rRNA from 1 species
GACGAACGCUGGCGGCGUGCCUAAUACAUGCCAGUUGAGCGAUGAAGAUUGGUGCUUGCACCAAUUUGAAGAGCAGCGAACGGGUGAGUAACGCGUGGGGAAUCUGCCUUUGAGCGGGGGACAACAUUUGGAAACGAAUGCUAAUACCGCAUAACAACUUUAAACAUAAGUUUUAAGUUUGAAAGAUGCAAUUGCAUCACUCAAAGAUGAUCCCGCGUUGUAUUAGCUAGUUGGUGAGGUAAAGGCUCACCAAGGCGAUGAUACAUAGCCGACCUGAGAGGGUGAUCGGCCACAUUGGGACUGAGACACGGCCCAAACUCCUACGGGAGGCAGCAGUAGGGAAUCUUCGGCAAUGGACGAAAGUCUGACCGAGCAACGCCGCGUGAGGGAAGAAGGGUUUCGGAUCGUAAAACUCUGUUGGUAGAGAAGAAAGUUGGUGAGAGUGGAAAGCUCAUCAAGUGACGGUAACUACACAGAAAGGGACGGCUAACUACGUG